GUGCUCGCUUCGGCAGCACACAUACUAAAAUUGGAACAAUACAAAUUAGCAUGGCCCCUGCACGAGGAUGAUAUGAAAAUUUGUGAAGCGUUUCAUAUUUAC